rnacentral:rRNA from 1 species
AUGGGGGGGUGCUAAUACAUGCAAGUCGAGCGAACUUGCGGGAGCUUGCUCCCAAAAGUUAGCGGCGGACGGGUGAGUAACACGUGGGCAACCUGCCUGUAAGACUGGGAUAACUUCGGGAAACCGGAGCUAAUACCGGAUAAUUCUUAUCAACACAUGUUGGUAAGCUGAAAGUCGGUUUCGGCUGACACUUACAGAUGGGCCCGCGGCGCAUUAGCUAGUUGGUGAGGUAACGGCUCACCAAGGCAACGAUGCGUAGCCGACCUGAGAGGGUGAUCGGCCACACUGGGACUGAGACACGGCCCAGACUCCUACGGGAGGCAGCAGUAGGGAAUCUUCCACAAUGGACGAAAGUCUGAUGGAGCAACGCCGCGUGAGCGAUGAAGGCCUUCGGGUCGUAAAGCUCUGUUGUUAGGGAAGAACAAGUAUCGGAGUAACUGCCGGUACCUUGACGGUACCUAACCAGAAAGCCACGGCUAACUACGUGCCAGCAGCCGCGGUAAUACGUAGGUGGCAAGCGUUGUCCGGAAUUAUUGGGCGUAAAGCGCGCGCAGGCGGUCCUUUAAGUCUGAUGUGAAAGCCCACGGCUCAACCGUGGAGGGUCAUUGGAAACUGGGGGACUUGAGUGCAGAAGAGGAAAGCGGAAUUCCACGUGUAGCGGUGAAAUGCGUAGAGAUGUGGAGGAACACCAGUGGCGAAGGCGGCUUUCUGGUCUGUAACUGACGCUGAGGCGCGAAAGCGUGGGGGAGCAAACAGGAUUAGAUACCCUGGUAGUCCACGCCGUAAACGAUGAGUGCUAA